rnacentral:rRNA from 1 species
UACAGAGGGUGCGAGCGUUGUCCGGAAUCACUGGGCGUAAAGGGCGCGUAGGUGGUGGCUUAAGCGUGCGGUGAAAGCUCGGGGCUCAACUCCGAGUCGGCCGUGCGAACUGGGCUCACUGGAGCAUAGUAGAGGCAGGUGGAAUUCCCGGUGUAGUGGUGGAAUGCGUAGAUAUCGGGAGGAACACCAGUGGCGAAGGCGGUUGCCUGGGGCUUUGCUGACGCUGAGGCGCGAAAGCGUGGGGGAGCAAACAGGG